UUAUAUUACGGAUCAAAUUUUCAUCAUGUUAAACUAAGCUCAGUACAAGGCUUUUACAAAAAAAAAAUAAUAAUAAAAAAAAAUAAAAAAAAAAUGAAGGCAUUAGACUUUACACUGGAAAUCCAAGAAAAACACUUUUAUUGUUUGUCAUAUAAAUUACAAAAAUAACUUUUAAGUAUAAUUAACUAAACACAGCCUUUACUUAUACAACAAACAUGCAAAGUGAAAAAAUGAUGUGAGGUUAAUUUAAGAAAGUUCCGUGCGGACCUAACUCGGAAAAUGAAAGGAAAGUAUUGAUAUCAUUUCAUAUUAGAUUCGUUAAGCCAUCCACCCUAAAAGUUCUUGCUGUUUCAAAGGUCAAAUUCUGCGUAAUGGGUUACCCAAAAUGACCAGCUUAUUCUAUUCAUUAAACGUGUGGAAAUUAAAAGGAGCAGCCAUCAACUGAUUUACUUCGUAACCUUAUAAAUACAUUAAACACUCAACAAGACAUCAACACAAAGAAAAUGAUAUUUGAAUAGAGAGUAAAAGAAUGUGGUUUGUAGAGUUUAAAGUGUAGUAUACAAAAGAUUAAUACAACUACAAUGCGGAAUAAUAAACUCUCAAAGUAUAAAACCGAACCAAAGACGACUCAAAGCUUCUUCAACACCACAAAUGAAGUGUUUUUGAUAUUAAGCUCAGAUUUGUGCCACACCAGAUUAUGCACCGUCGUCCACGGGAAUGGCAACGGAUAUAUCGAAAAAGGAUCCGCCGGAAACCACCAAGCACUUCGCCGAAGUUAUGGAAAGCUCCCACUUGGUUACCUCUCUAUACUCUCUCUCAAAUGUUAUGCCAAGUCCAAGUAUAAGAGAAUGAAAAGGUCUUGUAAUUAUAGAGUCAAUUCAUUUGAAUUCAAAAUUGAAAUAUUGUACUAUAGUCUAGAGAGUGACAACACUAGUAUAGAUAAUUAACGACAAGAUUAAAUCCUAACAUAAUUCAAGUCACAUUCUCUAGACCAAUCAACUUGCAUCAAUAUUAUGAUGUGAUCCACCUUACAUGGUUGAUUCUGAAGGUUUUGAUCUUACAUUUCGUUGGGUUUCUUCUUCUCUGUGGAGUACUGCCUACUCAUGCUCAAGAACGUGGCUAGAAGUUUGUGCUAAGAGAUGCUCCAUACACGAGGCUUUGCACUAACAAGACUAUUUUGACAAUAAAUGGACAAUUUCCGGGGCCAACUAUAUACGCCACAAAAGGAGAAACGGUUAUCGUUGAUGUUUACAAUCGAGCACAUGAUAACAUCACCAUUCACUGGCAUGGAGUGAAAAUGCCAAGGUAUCCACGGUCAGAUGGUCCCGAGUAUGUCACUCAAUGCCCAAUUCGACCUGG